AUACGUAGGUGACAAGCGUUAUCCGGAUUUACUGGGCGUAAAGGGCGUGUAGGCGGUCUUGCAAGUCAGAAGUGAAAUUCCUGAGCUCAACUCGGGCGCUGCUUCUGAAACUGCAGGACUUGAGUGCUGGAGGGGAUAGCGGAAUUCCUAGUGGAGCGGUAAAAUGCGCAGAUAUUAGGAAGAACACCGGUGGCGAAGGCGGCUAUCUGGAUAGUAACUGACGCUGAGGCGCGAAAGCGUGGGGAGCAAACAGGAUGAGAUACCCUGGUAGUCCACGCCGUAAACGAGGAAUACUAGGUGUAGGGGGUAUCGACUCCCUCUGUGCCGCAGUUAACACAAUAAGUAUUCCGCCUGGGGAGUACGGCCGCAAGGUUGAAACUCAAAGGAAUUGACGGGG
rnacentral:rRNA from 1 species